rnacentral:rRNA from 1 species
UACGGAGGGAGCUAGCGUUGUUCGGAAUUACUGGGCGUAAAGGGUCUGUAGGUGGCUUGCUAAGUCAGACGUGAAAUCCCCUCGGCUUAACCGGGGAACUGCGUCUGAUACUGGCGAGCUUGAGUGCAGGAGAGGAACGCGGAAUUCCAGGUGUAGCGGUGAAAUGCGUAGAUAUCUGGAGGAACACCGAUGGCGAAGGCGGCGUUCUGGACUGCAACUGACACUGAGAGACGAAAGCCAGGGGAGCAAACGGGG